rnacentral:misc_RNA from 1 species
GCAGGUAUGGUCACGGAGAAUUACUGGUGUACGUGAUGGUAUAAUCCAGGGCACAGAAGCUCUUGCUCAGGGUGUUGCUUUUGGUGUGUCAGGCGUGGUAACAAAGCCUGUGGCAAGUGCUAGACAGAAUGGUUUACUUGGUCUAGCUCAUGGUUUAGGACGUGCGUUUCUUGGAUUUAUUGUACAACCAGUUAGUGGAGCAUUAGAUUUUUUCUCACUGACCGUUGAUGGAAUUGGUGCAAGUUGUUCCAAGUGUUUAGAGGUUUUCAACAAGAAGGUUUCUUUCCAAAGAGUUAGAAACCCGCGGGCCAUCCAUGCUGACAGUAUUCUUAGAGAAUACUGCGAGAGAGAAGCUGUU